UACAGAGGGGGCAAGCGUUGUUCGGAAUUACUGGGCGUAAAGGGCGUGCAGGCGGUCUGCUAAGUCUAGGGUGAAAGCUCCCGGCUCAACUGGGAGAGGUCCUUGGAUACUGACAGACUUGAGGGAGGCAGAGGAGAAUGGAAUUCCCGGUGUAGUGGUGAUAUGCGUAGAUAUCGGGAGGAACACCAGUGGCGAAGGCGGUUCUCUGGGCCUUACCUGACGCUGAGACGCGAAAGCGUGGGGAGCGAACCGG
rnacentral:rRNA from 1 species